rnacentral:rRNA from 1 species
UACGGGGGGGGCAAGCGUUGUUCGGAAUUACUGGGCGUAAAGGGCUCGUAGGUGGCCAACUAAGUCAGACGUGAAAUCCCUCGGCUUAACCGGGGAACUGCGUCGGAUACUGGAUGGCUUGAGUUCGGGAGAGGGAUGCGGAAUUCCAGGUGUAGCGGUGAAAUGCGUAGAUAUCUGGAGGAACACCGGUGGCGAAGGCGGCAUCCUGGACCGGCACUGACACUGAGGAGCGAAAGCCAGGGGAGCAAACGGG